CGUAGGGCGCAAGCGUUGUCCGGAAUUAUUGGGCGUAAAGAGCUUGUAGGUGGCUUGUCGCGUCUGCCGUGAAAACCCGAGGCUCAACCUCGGGCGUGCGGUGGGUACGGGCAGGCUAGAGUGUGGUAGGGGAGACUGGAACUCCUGGUGUAGCGGUGAAAUGCGCAGAUAUCAGGAAGAACACCGAUGGCGAAGGCAGGUCUCUGGGCCAUUACUGACACUGAGAAGCGAAAGCAUGGGUAGCGAACAGGAUU
rnacentral:rRNA from 1 species